GCCGAGCUUGGUAACGCUUGCUUGUAACCUGUGUGGGGGCUUUAAGGUGAUGGAACAUGGGGCUGGCUUGCAGAAUCGGAUCUGGAGUUGGUCCUAAUCUGGCUUGCCCGUUCCAAGCUAAGAGCUGAACCGAGGGGCUUGAGUGAAAACUUUGAGUCUCGUGGUUCCUAAGGUGGAGGGCACUGCGUGAGGCUGGUUUCACAGAGCAGCGAAGACCUCCCUCUCUUAGCAGUGGAAGGAUAACAGGCUUGAUCCUCUCUAAUCCAACAUGGCUCAGUGAGCUGAUCCUAACUGGACCGUUACCUUU
rfam:Gossypium raimondii chromosome 3, whole genome shotgun sequence.